rnacentral:tRNA from 1 species
GGUGAGGUGUCCGAGUGGUUGAAGGAGCACGCCUGGAACGCGUGUACCCCGACAUGUCGGGGUCGAGGGUUCGAAUCCCUUCCUCACCGCCA